CAAAAUUACUGGUUCCCAUAUGAUCACUAAAGUUAAGCUACAUCAAGUCUGCUCAGUACCUAGAUGGGUGACUGCUUGGGAAACCAGGUGCUGUAAG
rnacentral:rRNA from 1 species